rnacentral:rRNA from 1 species
UACGAAGGGGGCUAGCGUUGCUCGGAAUGACUGGGCGUAAAGGGCGCGUAGGCGGUUUGGACAGUCAGAUGUGAAAUUCCUGGGCUCAGCCUGGGGGCUGCAUUUGAUACGUUCGGACUAGAGUGGGGAAGAGGGUCGUGGAAUUCCCAGUGUAGAGGUGAAAUUCGUAGAUAUUGGGAAGAACACCGGUGGCGAAGGCGGCGACCUGGUCCUUGACUGACGCUGAGGCGCGAAAGCGUGGGGAGCAAACAGG